AUCUACACAAUUAAGAACAUUCUUUCCCUUCAUAUCAGUGAUGUUAACGAACCCCGAAGAUCCCGGCGCAGAUCCCGUGGCCUGGAACAUGGUGGCUGCCAGUGCUGUGCCGUUUGUUAUUUGGUGGAGCUUCUUGGCGCCGAAGUAGUCUAAGAGAACGUGGAGGGAAAGAAUGUUCUUAAUUGUGUAGAUGGAAGGGUGCUUGGAGAGAAGCUCUGACAUGGCAGUGUUGUCGACUGCGCAGACGGUGAUGGUUGUGCGGCGGUUGAUCUCGGCGGCCAGGUGUGUUAUGGUUAGGUAGUGGUUGAAGGUGGAGAAAGCAGGGUGCUUGGCCAGUAGGCGAGUGAUGUUGUGCGCGUUGGUGAGUGUGGCGGCAGAUGAGAAUAGUAACAGUAGAGAGACGACGGUGGAGAGCCGCAUUGUGGCGGUUCUGUGCUAAAGAGAGGGAGAGACAGUUGAGUGUGUUGCGGUGGCAGAGAAUAGAGGACAGUUAGAGC
rnacentral:misc_RNA from 1 species